GUUGAAACACCAAUUCCCGUACGAUCACCGAAGUUAAGCAACGUCGAUCCUGAACAGCACCUAGAUGAGUGACCACUUGGGAACCC